rnacentral:rRNA from 1 species
CCCCGGUAAACGGCGGCCGUAACUAUAACGGUCCUAAGGUAGCGAAAUUCCUUGUCGGGUAAGUUCCGACCUGCACGAAUGGCGUAAUGAUGGCCAGGCUGUCUCCACCCGAGACUCAGUGAAAUUGAACUCGCUGUGAAGAUGCAGUGUACCCGCGGCAAGACGGAAAGACCCCGUGAACCUUUACUAUAGCUUGACACUGAACAUUGAGCCUUGAUGUGUAGGAUAGGUGGGAGGCUUUGAAGUGUGGACGCCAGUCUGCAUGGAGCCGACCUUGAAAUACCACCCUUUAAUGUUUGAUGUUCUAACGUGGACCCGUUACCCGGGUUGCGGACAGUGUCUGGUGGGUAGUUUGACUGGGGCGGUCUCCUCCUAAAGAGUAACGGAGGAGCACGAAGGUUGGCUAAUCCUGGUCGGACAUCAGGAGGUUAGUGCAAUGGCAUAAGCCAGCUUGACUGCGAGCGUGACGGCGCGAGCAGGUGCGAAAGCAGGUCAUAGUGAUCCGGUGGUUCUGAAUGGAAGGGCCAUCGCUCAACGGAUAAAAGGUACUCCGGGGAUAACAGGCUGAUACCGCCCAAGAGUUCAUAUCGACGGCGGUGUUUGGCACCUCGAUGUCGGCUCAUCACAUCCUGGGGCUGAAGUAGGUCCCAAGGGUAUGGCUGUUCGCCAUUUAAAGUGGUACGCGAGCUGGGUUUAGAACGUCGUGAGACAGUUCGGUCCCUAUCUGCCGUGGGCGCUGGAGAACUGAGGGGGGCUGCUCCUAGUACGAGAGGACCGGAGUGGACGCAUCACUGGUGUUCGGGUUGUCAUGCCAAUGGCACUGCCCGGUAGCUAAAUGCGGAAGAGAUAAGUGCUGAAAGCAUCUAAGCACGAAACUUGCCCCGAGAUGAGUUCUCCCUGAGACUUAGAGUCUCCUGAAGGAACGUUGAAGACGACGACGUUGAUAGGCCGGGUGUGUAAGCGCAGCGAUGCGUUGAGCUAACCGGUACUAAUGAACCGUGAGGCUUAACCUUACA